rnacentral:rRNA from 1 species
GAGUUUGAUCCUGGCUCAGAUUGAACGCUAGCGGCAGGCCUAACACAUGCAAGUCGAGCGGAUGAAGGGAGCUUGCUCCUGGAUUCAGCGGCGGACGGGUGAGUAAUGCCUAGGAAUCUGCCUGGUAGUGGGGGAUAACGUCCGGAAACGGGCGCUAAUACCGCAUACGUCCUGAGGGAGAAAGUGGGGGAUCUUCGGACCUCACGCUAUCAGAUGAGCCUAGGUCGGAUUAGCUAGUUGGUGGGGUAAAGGCCUACCUAGGCGACGAUCCGUAACUGGUCUGAGAGGAUGAUCAGUCACACUGGAACUGAGACACGGUCCAGACUCCUACGGGAGGCAGCAGUGGGGAAUAUUGGACAAUGGGCGAAAGCCUGAUCCAGCCAUGCCGCGUGUGUGAAGAAGGUCUUCGGAUUGUAAAGCACUUUAAGUUGGGUAGGAAGGGCAGUAAGUUAAUACCUUGCUGUUUUGACGUUACCAACAGAAUAAGCACCGGCUAACUUCGUGCCAGCAGCCGCGGU